UGGCGGCGUGCUUAACACAUGCAAGUCGAACGGUGACCUCGGAGCUUGCUCCGGGCGAUCAGUGGCGAACGGGUGAGUAACACGUGAGUAACCUGCCCCAGACUCUGGGAUAACAUCGGGAAACCGGUGCUAAUACCGGAUAUGAGACGAGACCGCAUGGUCAUCGUCUGGAAAGAUUUAUCGGUCUGGGAUGGACUCGCGGCCUAUCAGCUAGUUGGUGAGGUAAUGGCCCACCAAGGCGACGACGGGUAGCCGGCCUGAGAGGGCGACCGGCCACACUGGAACUGAGACACGGUCCAGACUCCUACGGGAGGCAGCAGUGGGGAAUAUUGCACAAUGGGCGCAAGCCUGAUGCAGCAACGCCGCGUGGGGGAUGAAGGCCUUCGGGUUGUAAACCCCUUUUAGCAGGGAAGAAGCGAAAGUGACGGUACCUGCAGAAAAAGCGCCGGCUAACUACGUGCCAGCAGCCGCGGUAAUACGUAGGGCGCAAGCGUUGUCCGGAAUUAUUGGGCGUAAAGAGCUCGUAGGCGGUUUGUCGCGUCUGCUGUGAAAGUCCGAGGCUCAACCUCGGAUCUGCAGUGGGUACGGGCAGACUAGAGUGUGGUAGGGGAGACUGGAAUUCCUGGUGUAGCGGUGGAAUGCGCAGAUAUCAGGAGGAACACCAAUGGCGAAGGCAGGUCUCUGGGCCACAACUGACGCUGAGGAGCGAAAGCGUGGGUAGCAAACAGGAUUAGAUACCCUGGUAGUCCACGCCGUAAACGGUGGGCACUAGAUGUGGGGCUCUUUCCAUGAGUUCCGCGUCGCAGCUAACGCAUUAAGUGCCCCGCCUGGGGAGUACGGCCGCAAGGCUAAAACUCAAAGGAAUUGACGGGGGCCCGCACAAGCGGCGGAGCAUGCGGAUUAAUUC
rnacentral:rRNA from 1 species